rnacentral:rRNA from 1 species
AGUGAACGCUGGCGGUAGGCCUAACACAUGCAAGUCGAACGGCAGCACAGGAGAGCUUGCUCUCUGGGUGGCGAGUGGCGGACGGGUGAGGAAUACAUCGGAAUCUACUCUGUCGUGGGGGAUAACGUAGGGAAACUUACGCUAAUACCGCAUACGACCUACGGGUGAAAGCAGGGGACCUUCGGGCCUUGCGCGAUUGAAUGAGCCGAUGUCGGAUUAGCUAGUUGGCGGGGUACAGGCCCACCAAGGCGUCGAUCCGUAGCUGGUCUGAAAUGAGGAUCAGCGACACUGGAACGGAGACGUGGUCCCGACUCCUACGGCAGGCAGCAGUGGGGAACAUUGGACAGUGGGCGCAGGCCUGAUCCAGCCAUACCGCGUGGGUGAAGAAGGCCUUCAGGUUGUAAAGCCCUUUUGUUGGUAAAGAAAUCCAGCUGGCUAAUACCCGGUUGGGAUGACGGUACCCAAAGAAUAAGCCCCGGCUAACUUCGUGCCAGCCGCCGCCGCAG